GGAUAUUUACAGGCCAUAAUAGUGACGGAUUGAAGUUGCAACAGGAAUUAAUGACAAUUUGCAAAUCUGGAAUGAGAACGGUUACACCAAGUCAAAAGGCAGAGAAAUUUGUGGAGUUCCUGGAGAAGGAGGAUUUAACUCCGACGCAGCCCGCAUUCACGCCCCAAGGUGCUAAGAAUCAAACAAACGGCUCGCACACCAAAAGGUAUGCCUGGAAUGCCAGAUCCCCUCUCUUGGCUUCUGAAGAGGAUGUCAAAGAGAGGGGAAGAGCCGCACGUUUCUGAGUGAGGACCCCUGGGGGCGUCUUAUUGGGGCUUGUGUACACAAAUUUACGAACUGACAAUUUUUGAGAGCAAGAUUUGGACAGUAUCUUAGCAUUGUCAAGCGGAGCACAAAGAUUUGGUCACCUGAUACUACUGUAUCUGGAAAUGAGAAAAAAAAAGAGUGCAAGGGGAAAGAAAGAAUGCUUGAGUUUGGGUUGAAAACUAUAUAGAUGUGUUUCAUACCAGCUUACUGAUGCAUGAUGGCACUGUGUAUAUGAUUCUUGCAAAAAUAUUAUAAGUUUAAAAAACAUGUUGAACAGUACUUUAGCUUGAAGAUGUUAGGAUGAAAUCAGCCAGCAAAAUUGCAAAGCAGUGGGUGUUAAUGGAGAUGAUGAUUUUGCAAUUGUACUGUCUUGAUUAAUGCUUAAUUUGCUAUAAACAGAUGUACUGUAACCUAAGUAGUAAUAAUGCUUUUGCUUAAGUACAAAGAUGUAACCCUGUGAUGAAUGCUAUAUGGAAAAUGUAUUGGGUAACUUCACUGACAUUAAGAAAACUGCUUACUUGCAUGAAAUGUAUGUAGUGACUGAGUGAGAGUAGAAACAUUUAUGUAUUAGAAAUAGUUUUUAUGAUAAAUGGACAAUAUAGUAGUUAAGGUGUAUUUCACAGACGGUUAAGAGGAAAAAGAAGAGGAAAAGGGCUAAAGCAAUGUGAAGUAAACAACUGAAAGCCUCGGCAGAGGAGUUGGCCGCACUCCAGGUGAUGACAUCAGAAGAACCAGCGUUCGACGUCUGUGUAUAAAAGACUGAGAGAGAGACUCGACGGACGGAUACUGAACAAGCACAGUAUCCCUCGACGCCUGAUACCAGCUGAUUAUACCUUGAUUUUGUAACUUUACUAUUGUACUUUAAUAUAACUUUUGUUAACUUUAAUAAAACUUGUAUUUUAUUAUUGACAA